AGACCUUCGGGUCUAGCGGCGGACGGGUUAGUAACGCGUGGGAACGUGCCCUUCUCUGCGGAAUAGCCACUGGAAACGGUGAGUAAUACCGCAUACGCCCUUCGGGGGAAAGAUUUAUCGGAGAAGGAUCGGCCCGCGUUAGAUUAGAUAGUUGGUGGGGUAAUGGCCUACCAAGUCUACGAUCUAUAGCUGGUUUUAGAGGAUGAUCAGCAACACUGGGACUGAGACACGGCCCAGACUCCUACGGGAGGCAGCAGUGGGGAAUCUUAGACAAUGGGCGCAAGCCUGAUCUAGCCAUGCCGCGUGUGUGAUGAAGGUCUUAGGAUCGUAAAGCACUUUCGCCAGGGAUGAUAAUGACAGUACCUGGUAAAGAAACCCCGGCUAACUCCGUGCCAGCAGCCGCGGUAAUACGGAGGGGGUUAGCGUUGUUCGGAAUUACUGGGCGUAAAGCGUACGUAGGCGGAUCAGAAAGUAAGGGGUGAAAUCCCAGGGCUCAACCCUGGAACUGCCUCUUAAACUCCUGGUCUUGAAUUCGAGAGAGGUGAGUGGAAUUCCAAGUGUAGAGGUGAAAUUCGUAGAUAUUUGGAGGAACACCAGUGGCGAAGCGGCUCACUGGCUCGAUACUGACGCUGAGGUACGAA
rnacentral:rRNA from 1 species